rnacentral:lncRNA from 1 species
UUGGGACCUUGUGCUUGUGAGGCAGGUGGUGGAACCACUGAGCUAAAUCCCCGGGCCAGGAGUGGGUUGUUUUUUAUCUUCUUACUUUGUGUCUUAUAUUUUUUGACUGAAUGACAAGUGUUGGAUUUGGCCAGUAGCGUACAAGACAGGUAGUGGGCAAGGAAACCGGUGGUCACAUGCUGGUGGCGUGGACUUGUGCUGAAAAGAAGGUAUACCCUGAUCUGUCUUCCUUCAGGAGGCCUGGACAUGAGGCCCUUCUCAGAGCUGGGAUUGCAGGUGUGUGCCACUAGAUUUUCUCUUCUGAGGUGCAAAGCAGUCCUUUGUUUACCAGCACGACAGUGCCACCUUUGGGCCAGCAGGGUGGACGUGUGCAGUCCUUUGAAAGCCUGCAGAUCAGGCUCCUGGCUUCCUCUCUUGCUGGGGGCGCUCUUCCCUCUCAGGGAGCUUCCUUCAGUCAGAGCAAGGACCUUGUGCUUUCGAGGAGGCAGCUGCAGCACCACUGAGCUACAUCCCCCAGCCCAUCUGUCCCCUUCUUUGAUACUGCCAUUGAUGAAUGAUUUUGCUGGAGGAGGAACACAGUGGUCGGAUCUAACUGAAAUACUGUGUGCAGUGUCUGUGCAUAUGUAUGGUAUGUGUGGGUGCCUGGUAUGCGUACAAGUGAUUGAUCUGAACAGUGUGCGUGGGUGUUAACUGUGCAUCUGUGUAUGUGGUGUGCGCGCACAUGUGGCAUGUGUGGUGUGUUUGCACUGUGAUGUGCUGUUGAGUUCCAGCGGAGGUUGAUUCUCUUGGGAUGAGUAACAGCUCCUACCAGGGCUCCCCACCAGUGCCUGUCCCACCCUCACCUCCUGUCAGCCUCCACCUCUCUUAUCUCCUGUAAGGAAUCUGGAGUAAUGCACCUUCCAAAUGUGGCUGUGGUGAUUGAACCCACCCACCUCAUUUCUUGGAGAACAAUGCUUCUAGGAAGUGCAGAUGUACAGUGUGGCAGGUACCAGCCACUGUGCGACAGAAACAGGCUCCCCAGACCAGCCAGUUCCCUUGAGGAAGGGCCU